GGGCUCGUAGCUCAGCUGGUUAGAGCGCUUAUCUGAUAAGUAAGAGGUCGAAGGUUCGAGUCCUUCCGAGCCCACCA
rnacentral:tRNA from 1 species